UGCAAUGGGGCUUGGGAAAACUGUGAUGACUAUUGCUCUGAUUCUUGCAAGGCAAGGCAGAGGUACCCUGAGGAUUAAGAAUCGAUUGCCAAAAGUGAGGGUGAUACAGAGUACAUCAAGAAAAAGAAAGAGGAAUCUGAUCUCAAACCUUUUAGAAAAGUGAAAGGCAGCACCCUCAUUAUUUGUCCUAUGGCGUUGCUUGGCCAGCGGAAGGAUGAACUUGAAACACACUCAAAGCCAGAUAGCAUCUCCGUUUCUGUCUUUUUUGGUGGGGAUCGGAGCAGUGACCCUAGAGUGAUUGCUGAACCUAAUGUGAUCUUGACCACAUACAGUGUCUUAACGGCUGCUUGAUGGGGAGAAUAGCAUUUUCCACAGAGUUGACUGGUACAGAGUGGUUUUGGAUGAAGCUCAUACCAUCAAGUCCUCUAAAACUCUAGGUGCCCAGGCUGCCUUCAAAUUGUCAUCCUAUUGCAUGUGGUGUCUUACUGGUACCCCUCUUCAGAACAAGUUGGAAGACCUUUAUAACCUACUUUGCUUCUUGCAUGUUGAACCAUGGUGUAACUAGGCUUGGUGGCAAAAACUGAUUCAGAAGCCAUAUGAGAGUGGUGAUUAUAGAGGGAUAAAGCUGAUCAAGGC